AUCAGGAAUGGAAAUAUGAUUUUAAAUGUUGGGCCACCGGGAAGUUUCGCCUGUCGCGGAUGGAGCGGGGGUGCUGGGCUGAAGCGGUUCCCCCCUCCCACUUUACGACGUGUCCCGCUGAUGCAGAGGCCACACUGGGAGCACCAGGCGACCCCAGCAGAUACGCAGUCAACAAAGUUUACCUCCGUUUCUGAGUUGGAGGCUCGGGCGGCGGGCAGGGACGCGAAGGGCCGAACGGCCGUCGAGAGGGGGAGGAGGAGGAGAGGCGAUGACGCACUUCCGGGUCAGAGGUCUGCGGCGCCAUGGCGGAGCCGAGCGGACCGUCGGAGGACCCGUGGGUCAAGGUCCGGCGGGGAGAGGGAGACGGCGGGGAGGGCCCGAAGAGCGAGUCUUCAUUCAGUGACAGUGCCUUUGAAUCUGUGUUGCUCACUGAGAGCUCGAGGAAGGGAAGCAUAGGUUCGAGAGCGAACAGCAUCACCUCCAACACGGGUUCCACCAGCGCCUCCUCUGUUCCUAACACAGCAUUUCAAGCUUCAGAAUACAUUUAUUAUCAAAGUACUUGAGAUUCAUUUUCCUGCGGGCAUACCCAGUAAAUCCAAGAAUCAUAAUAGAAUCGAAGAAAGCCUGCAGCCAACAGCACGGACAAACAACCAAUGUGCAGAAGACAACAAAAUGUGCAAAUACAAAAAUAAUAACAAAUAAAUAAGCAAUAAAUAUCGAGAACAUGAGAU